UACGUAGGGUGCGAGCGUUGCCCGGAUUUAUUGGGCGUAAAGGGCGCGCAGGCGGUACGGCACGUCCGUUGUGAAAUCGCUCGGCUCAACUGGGCGGGGUCAGCGGAUACGGCCGCACUUGAGCAAGCUAGGGGGCAAUGGAAUUCCCGGUGUAGUGGUGGAAUGCGUAGAUAUCGGGAGGAACACCAGUGGCGAAGGCGGUUGCCUGGAGCUUUGCUGACGCUGAGGCGCGAAAGCGUGGGGAGCGAACAGG
rnacentral:rRNA from 1 species